AAGGGUACAGCUAAAUGGUUAGAGCACAUGCUUAGCAUGCACAAGGUCCUGGGUUCAAUUCCCAGUACCUCCA
rnacentral:tRNA from 1 species